rnacentral:rRNA from 1 species
GAUGAACGCUGGCGGCGUGCCUAAUACAUGCAAGUCGAGCGAACGGACGAGAAGCUUGCUUCUCUGAUGUUAGCGGCGGACGGGUGAGUAACACGUGGAUAACCUACCUAUAAGACUGGGAUAACUUCGGGAAACCGGAGCUAAUCCCGGAUGAUAUUUUGAACCGCAUGGUUCAAAAGUGAAAGACGGUCUUGCUGUCACUUAUAGAUGGAUCCGCGCUGUAUUAGCUAGUUGGUAAGGUAACGGCUUACCAAGGCAACGAUGCAUAGCCGACCUGAGAGGGUGAUCGGCCACACUGGAACUGAGACACGGUCCAGACUCCUACGGGAGGCAGCAGUAGGGAAUCUUCCGCAAUGGGCGAAAGCCUGACGGAGCAACGCCGCGUGAGUGAUGAAGGUCUUCGGAUCGUAAAACUCUGUUAUUAGGGAAGAACAUAUGUGUAAGUAACUGUGCACAUCUUGACGGUACCUAAUCAGAAAGCCACGGCUAACUACGUG